rnacentral:misc_RNA from 1 species
UAAUGAAAAAAAUAUAAAACGAACUUAGAUGUGUGAAGAAGAAACAUGACGCAUUGAAACAUUAAAGUUCUACAAUGUUAUUCCCUCUAGUUUAAUUUCUCCAGCAAUCUACUAUUUCUCAAUUUUUUGGGGUGGCAUGAAACACGUCUGUGCAUCUUCAUAGCGUCAUAUAUUUAAUUUCCUCCUUCUCUUUUGGUGGGGGUAGCAGCAGAAGAGAAAAAUAAGCCUAACACUCAAAAGACCUCCACAUUUUUCAAGACUGAUUCAACUAUUUCUGCUUCCUUUAAGCGCAACUCCCAUCCUCUAAAAAUGAAUUAACAAAUAAAAACAGAGCCCAUCCCUACACCAUCAAGCCUUCUUCACAGACCAAAACCAGAACAUUUCCAUAAAACAAUAUCACAGGAAACAAAGUGAACUACUAAUAGCCAUCAUAAUCUAAACAAUACCUCAUCCACAUCGUCAGUAUCACCGUUG